UACGAAGGGGGCUAGCGUUGCUCGGAAUUACUGGGCGUAAAGCGUGCGCAGGCGGUUGUGCAAGACAGAUGUGAAAUCCCCGGGCUCAACCUGGGAAUUGCAUUUGUGACUGCACGGCUAGAGUGUGUCAGAGGGGGGUAGAAUUCCACGUGUAGCAGUGAAAUGCGUAGAGAUGUGGAGGAAUACCGAUGGCGAAGGCAGCCCCCUGGGAUAACACUGACGCUCAUGCACGAAGGCGUGGGGAGCAAACAGG
rnacentral:rRNA from 1 species